GAAUAAAUCAGAGCUCUUCUCUCCACCCGUGGCCCCACAGCCCCGAGUGUGAGUGCACCACCCCCAGAUGCCUCUAGUUGUAAUAGUUUACAGAAAUCUACCUGGAAGGUGGAUUGGGUUUUGGAUCUGCAGCAGGAGAGAGAACUGGCCCUGCUGGGAUCAGAGCUGCCCCUGCCCUCACCUGCUGCGAGACUCAAGAUAGCAGACCCUGCACCUCACCUGGAAAGCACAGGAGAGCUGACCCUGGUGGCAACCCUGUGUCGCUGUCAACUUCACGAAGCUGUUAAAUGCAUUGGAUCAUGGUGUUUGGAGAAAUCAAAAUCUGUCCCCAGGCCACAGCCAUUCAGAUCUGGUUCCGUCUCUUCUUUCUUGGAGGUGAGAGCUGUUUCCUUCAAUGGAGCGAAGCAACUGACUUCACUGAGAUACUCGUGGUCAGGAAACACCUCGUAAGAGCUGGAGAGAUGGCUCAGCGGUUACGAGCACUGACUGCUUUUUCAGGGGACCUUGGUUUGAGUCCCAGCACCCACAUAACUGUAUGUACCUCCAGUUUCAGUGGUCUGUUGCCCUCUUCUGCCCUCUGCAGACACACAUGUG
ensembl:processed_transcript